rnacentral:rRNA from 1 species
CCUACGGGUGGCAGCAGUGAGGCAUAUUUGUCAAUGGGCGAGAGCCUGAAUCAGCCAAGUAGCGUGAAGGAUUACAGGCCUACGGGUUGUAAACCUCUGUUAUAAAGGAAUAAAGUGAGGCACGUGUGCCUUUUUGUAUGUACUUUCUGAAUUAUGAUCGGCUAACUCCGUGCCUGCAGCCGUGGUAAUACGGAGGCUGCGAGCGUUAUCCGGAUUCAUGGGGUUUAAAGGGAGGGUAGCUGGGUUUGUAAGUCAGUUGUGAAAGGUUGCGGCUCAACCGUAAAAUUGCAAUUGAUACUGGCAGUCGUGAGUACAGUUGAGGUAGGCGGAAUUCGUGGUGUAGCGGUGAAAUGCUUAGAUAUCACGAAGAACACCGAUUGCGAAGGCAGCUUACUAAACUGCCACUGACGUUGAUGCACGAAGGUGAGGGUAUCAAACAGGAUUAGAUACCCGAGUAGUC